CUUGUACCAAACGCACGCGCGGUCUAAGUAGUGGGCAAACUAGCGACUGGCGCGCGCGAUGAGCUCGCGGCAAUAUCAAACGCAGGAUUUCACUCGCGACGUCAGGAGCUUCUUCGGUCUCAUGGGUGUCGCAAGCGUGAUAAUACAAAAGUAAAUAAAUGCCGGAUCAGUAAAAUAUCAUCAGAAUAAUACUUAUUAAAACAUUAGCAACAGUCUUCUUAACAUCAUAUUGAGCAAGAUCGAGGGAAUGCUAAUUAAUAGCCUUUGCAACGGGAAAGACUAAAAAAUAUAUGCGUUGAUCACCGUUGCGGCCGACAGCAAGCUCAUUAUGUGCUAAUUCAAUAACAACAACAAAGCAAUGUCCUUCAUUUAAACUACAAACGAUGUUAAUAUUAUAUUUAAAAGUUUUAUUAAAACGAU